AUUCAUUUUCACCUUUGAAUGGCCAGUAAUGUCAAAUGGCAACGUCAUUGGCCUUCAUAUCAACAUAUUUUAAAUGUAUGUCUUGGAACUGAAGGUCAAUAAUGGCUACUAAAUUUAAAAUAUGGAAUUCUAUGAUGUUUUAUUCUUGGUACUUUGAUUGCCUUUAUACUGGUGAUUAUUUCAUCUGAAGGCAAAAAUCGAAUUCCAGCCUAUCUCAAUGGAAGUUCCUUUGCCUCCCUUGAGUACAUUUGAACCAUUUUCUUUGAAGUUUCUAGCACAACACUAGUAUAUAUAAUUUUGGAAACUAUACAGUCUGUAUCAGGGAUUUUUAACCCAGCUGCAAGACAGGCAUUGUGGGUAAUAGCAAAGUAUGGGAGUUGAUAUGAGUCCUAAAUUGGGAUGGCUGCUCUGUCAUAUAUUAGGAGGGUGACAUCGAACAAGUUGCAAGUUACUUAAUGUCUCUGAGCCUCGGAUUAAGGUUAACAGUAUCAGACAUAUAGGCUUGCUGUGGGGAUUAAAUUAGAUACUGUGAAGUCAUCUUUUAGAAGCUGUAACACGUAUAGGUGAUCAAUAAGUAUUAGUUUUUGUUCUUUGCAAUAAACUGGGCAUCUAGAUUUGGUGAGAUGCUUAAAAAUUAGUUUAUCAAAAUUUAUUGUAAUUUAUAUCAAAUUUAAAAAUACAUGACGGUUUGCAGCGAAGGAUCCAAUUUAGCCAAAAGAAAUGCCAGAUGUCACUGCAUUAUGAAGAUAAAAAAUCAGUAAUUUGUGCUAUGUGCACACAAGGUUCAAGGCUAGCUAUAGACCACUUAGUAAUUUUAUACUCAUUAUUAAUUUCUCCGUUCUAAGAUGCUUUUAUGAUAUAAAUGAUCAUUAUAUGGGUAAUAUUUUUGUGCUUUUGUGCCAGCUAUUGCUAUUGUGGAGUCGAGGGGGAGGUUGAACCUGCUAAGUCAGUCUAGCUUUCAUAUAUUGUUUAGAAGAAGGGUUGGCAAACUUUUCUAUAAAGAGCCAGGUAGUAAAUAUUUCCAAAUAUGGAUUCUAUUGGAACUACACAACUCGGUUGUUUUCAUGCGUAAGCAGACACAGUACAACGAACAAAUCAGAGUGGCUGUGUUCAAAUAAAACUUUAUUUACUUAUUUUGGAAAGGAAAAUUGGCCCUGAGCUAACGUCUGUGCCCAUUCUCCUCCACUUUGUACGUGGCAUGCUGCCACAGCAUGGCUUGACGAGCAGUGUGUAGGUCUGCACCCAGGAUCCAAACCCAUGAACUCAGGGCCAUCAAAGCAGAGCCCGCAAACUUAAUCACUACACCACCGGGCCAGUUCCUAAAUAAAACUUUAUGAUGGACACUGAAUUUUUAAUUUCAUGUAAUUUUCAUGAGCCACAAAAUAUUUUUCUUCUUUUGACUUUUUUCAACCACUUAAAAAUGUAAAAACCUACUUACCUUGAAGUACACACAAAAAAAGGCAGUGGGCUGGACUUGGCUUCCAGACAGAAAUUUGCAGACUCCUGGUUUGGAGGAGCAAGCAUUGUACUAAAGGUCAAGAGUUCUUUCACAACUAUUCACUGUGUGACCUACCCGACUUCUCCAAAAUCAUUUAAUUUUCCUGAGCCUCAGUUUCCUCUUCAACAAAUGAAGUAAUUGAGUAAAUUAAUCCCUAAGUUUCUUUUCAGCUUUAUUGUUUUAUGAUUUAUGAGUAGAACUCACUCAUUAGCUUUCUAAUUUCUAAGUUGAGGUUAGCAAUGAAGAUAGUCCCAAAUUUCUUCAAAGACUUUUAUAAUCAUUGAUAUUGCUUCAUAAGUAAGUUAGUCUUUGACGCUUAACCACGUUAAAAUGUUUUAAAAAUCACAUAUAUUUAUAAAAGGUACUUUAGACUUAGUGCUUUCUUUUUGACUUCUCCACAGCAUAAGGACUGAUUCACCAAGGAACUAAGAGUAGGUGGGGAGAGAAUCACUUGCUCAUUAGGACUUAUACUUAAGAGCACAGUGGAGGUGGUACUCAAAUCAGUCAAUUUAGCUACUUGUUAGUACCAGUUUUUAAAGGCUUAAUGAAGGAGGAAGGCAAAAUGUUUAGCUAAGGGAAGGUUGGGUAAUUGUCCAUAGAGCCUAUAUUUUCAUGCCCUACUCUUAUGCCUUACGCCUGUGCACCCUGAAGUAUUGUCUGCCCCUCCUGACAGACAUUUAUAGUUCUACAGGAGAAACAGCAUACGCAGAUUCUCCUCAGUUUUCCAAGAUGUCCAUCAGAAAGACAACAAUUGCAAGGAUAAAGGGAAGUAAAGUGACUGAGAAGGUUUUAGCACCUAAGGGGUUGAAUUCAAAGGAAGAAGCUUCUGACAACGGUUCUGGCAUCCUGGUGACCAGCCCAAGGUGGUGCCUGACAGCUGAUGUAAAAAAUGAAAAAGGUAAGAUCAAUGGGAACAUAUUAAAAAGGGAAGAAGAGUAACAAAAUAAAAGACCAAAGUAAAAGAUUUCAGAAUCUCUCAGAAGUCUCUAACUUGAACUCAUUAAUGAAUAAGACAACUUGGACUUUCUUUUACAGCCUUAACACAAAGAACCGAUCCUAUUUUUUAACGUAAAUGGUUAUAUAAAUAAUCCUCACUUUACUUGUCAGGGAGAGGAUGGUUUCUUACUUUGACAUGGAGAUGAAGGGAAACAUAGUCCCUGCUUUGACUUUAUCCUUGAAUUUCAGACAUAAGAUUAAACUUUGAACUCUUCAAUGACUUUGUACUUGUUGAUAGUGUCACUCAAAGUUCAGAUUGCAUUAGUUGGCUUUUGACUUUUCCAGUAGCUUCCUCUGGGGUUAUGUGGCUGUCGCGUUAGCAUCAGAAGCAUUUUAUGGCCUUAGAAGCUUGCAGUCACUUACUGCUAGUGAUUUGCAACCUCAUUGUUGUUCAUUUUAUGACCUUUCAGAUUCCACCUUUUCUUUGACUCCAUUAGGACUUCCUGAUACAAUGACAGAUUAGAGACCCCCAUUUAGUUAGCAGUUCAGCUGUGCCAUCAUAAUUGUUACAAUUUUUCAUAGCACCCCUUUUGACCAGAUAAAUAUUUUCACAAAUUAUAUAGACAUCAAACCAUGGUUGUAGAAUAAAUGGUAUAAUAAAUGUUGAAAAGUUUGAGUUUCUCCAAAGAAGGCCAAUAGAGAAACUCAAAGUAUAGUUUGAUGGUCAUUUUGAUUAUGUUCAAGUUUCCUGUGAUAAAAUUCCAGGUGAAAUGCAUUCUAACCAAGUUCAUUUAAAUGUCAUAGAGUAUUGGCUUUUAUUUUUAAAUAAAGAAUAUUUAUUAAUAUUUCUUUUUAUGAUUAUAAAGUGAUUAUAUUGACUUGAUCUCAGUUGUAAUAGAACUAUUAUGUCAGCUUUUGAUUAAUUGAGGAAGCUGGAACCCUCAGAAUUGAAUAUGGAGCCUUUAACCUCUAAGUCACUGAAUCAAAUCCAGCCCAAAUUGGUAGUGACCAAGAAUGAUUACAACGAUGGCUCUUUGGUGGCCUCUAUGAAGUGUAUUUAGGUCAGGUGGACGUAUGUCAGGAUAACUGCUGACAGAAGGACUCAUAUCUAUAGUUACUACUGCCUCUUCUUAGUCACUAUUGCCAAACACACAUGAAAGGCCCAGGGACUGAGAAAGCCAAGGGUGCAGAAGCACCCACGAGUAGCCAAGCUUUGUAUCUCUUAGAAAGAAGUAAUAAGGACUUCUCUUUAUUAUUGCUAUUAUGAGACAUUUCUAGCUAUUUAAAUGAGUUUACUUAAGGUUUUAGUAAGUUGAGAACUGAGAAUGUUUUCAUGAACAGUCUAGAUACUGAAUUUGAACAGGUCUGGGCUAGGAGCUUAACUUCCUGACCUCUGCUUAUGAGCUUGUCUCUGUUGCUCAUCAACUGUUCUCUGCUCUGCUCUUGCAAAACAGUGCUGUUCAGAUAGUAGGGUUGUUACUGGCAUCGUUACAACUUACUCUAUGCUUUCAAACAGGCUUUAUUACGAAACGCUAACUAUGUGCAUGGUGAAAGACUAUUGGCAAAGAGAUUCUCCCC
ensembl:lncRNA